rnacentral:lncRNA from 1 species
AUUACUCAAUCUGGAAAGUGCAAAUACACACAUGAACCUGUUAGCCGAUGGGCCCACUCUGCAUGGGUGGUGGACGACGACCCUGGCUCAGGAUUCUGCAGGAAACAAGUGAUGAUAGAGGUGUCAUUAGGAACUUUAUGGAUAUUUAUGCGCCUCCCUUUCAUUGCCAUUUGGAAACUCCUCACGCAGAAGUCAAGGAAACUCCAAUCCCACUUAAACUUCAUUGCGGAGAAACAGAGUUCUGAAAAAAAAGCAGCUACCAUGGACCUCUCUUUUAAACGCAAGUACACCCACACACAUUCGGAUACCAAGGAAGGAAGGAAAGAAAGAAAGGAAAGAAAAGGGAGGGGAGGAAGGAAGAGCAAAGUCCUCUCUAAAAGUCUCAAUUAUAUAUAUAGCCUCUGAUUGUCACCUCUCCUCCGUCCCACCAUUUUUCGUACUUGUAUUGGGUGGCAGGGACACUUUUCAAGAGUUCUGUGUUCGAUUGUUCACUCUGAGUACCUCUCCACCAUCCUCCAGUCGUUGCCCUCAUUGGGAGAGAUGCUUGCUACUCUGCUAGUACCACGCCUUGGUUCCGGUCUUUACUGUUGGCUGGUAGGUCGGGAGGCACCUCUAGCAUGAGACAGUGUCUGGAAGCCAGGAUUUCCCUCAUCUAUAUGCGCCGGUCCCCAGCUCCCUGGUCGCCAGGGUUUCUCUCCAGUUGAAUUCCGUGUUCCUUCAGGUUGAACAGUAGCUUCAGCGGUUUUUCACGCUCAGAAAUGAUGAGGCCCAAUUCCAAUCUUCCCUCCCGCCGGAAGUAAGAAGGGGAAUUCUGAGUUGCUUGUCGCCUGACAGCUUAAAAUAGCAACGAAAACAGCCAGCAUCUUUGCUUAAAAACCCAAGGUUCCCGCCAGUGUUUACCAUACUUCCUCUAGAGUUUAAGAAGUUAAGAACUUCCGAGAUCUUGAAUUUCCUCUUUGCAGCACAGCGAACGGGGUCGGGUAUAAAAAUGCUCCAAGGAGCAAGUAAUUACGAACGUUUAUUGACACUACAAGUGGCCCACAGGGAGCCUUUCGAGUUUAUUGAUGUCUAGGCAAAUCCAGCCUGCAUUAAUGCAUUUCUGUUAGAUUGACUUCUGUUAGACUCACUUUUCUUCUGGCAAAAACUGCCAGAAUAAAACAGCUUCUUAUUUAAGUUAAAAGGGAUCCGGGGCUGAGGGCAGGGGUCGGGUGGGAGAGGGAUGCAUGGUUAGGAUGCUAAAUUCUCAAGGAUAAACUUUGAUUUUUAAACAGUAGACAACUAUAUUUUAGAUUAUAGGUAAAACAUCACUCUCUGUCAGGGAUAGAGUAAUAUGCAUCGUUUCAUUAAACUCAUUAUUUCUUAAGCAAUGGUUAUGGGGCAGGCAAUGUGUGCGGAGAUGGGAACACAAAGAUGAAUAAAACUUAGCAUCUAGUCAGACACAAAUCCUACUCACUCAAAGGGGGCAUCUUUUAAAAAUAAUAAUUUACAGUAUGGCAACAUGAAUCAGAAACAUCAUUUAAAAUAUAUAUGGUAUCUGAGUAAGCUCCUGGGUUGAAGCAGAUGGGGUGUUUAAGCCUUUUGAAGCCCGGAAGAUGAGUUUCCGGGUGAAGGGGACACACAGACUCCUGUUUUCAAAGCUGACAAGGAAGUAAGCCAAGCAGAGGGAGGAUAGAACAUUGCAGGUGGAAAAAGGAGUAUGCGCAACUCCAGAGAGUAAUAAAACUCUGGUGCUUUGGGGCAACUUUGAAGUGGCUCAGUACUGUUAGAAGGGAAAGUGGUAAGGGAGAGUGCUGGUCCAAAAGUUUCGGUGUACUCAUAAUAUUCUAUGGCUCCAGAGUGUGGAACAGUCUUCUGUAAUGAGAAAGCCACAAGAAAAUCUUCAAGAGGAAAGUAAAGCAGAUUAUUAUCCACAAUGUUGGUGAGCCUCAUCCAAAUUGUUGAAUACCUGAAUGGAACAAAAUUUCCAACCUCUGUGAGCAUGAAGAAAUUUUCUAGCAGACUGCCUUUCAACUUCACCUGCACCAUCAGCUUUCCAGAGUCUCCAUCCUGUCAGCAUUUGGACUGGAACAAUGCCAUUGGCUGUCCUACGCCUCAAACCUCCUGGCCCGUGCUGCAAGAUUCUAACUCACUAGCCUUUGUAAUCAUGUGAGCCAAUUCCUUAAGAGAUAAGAAUCUCUUUCGAGAUAUUAAACAAGACAUUCAAUUGGUUCUUUUACUCUGGAGAACCUAAUACAGCUGUCAUGAAAAACUUGGAUAUUCAAAUUAGAUAAAAGUAUAUUUCAGAAAUGUACCAGGAUCACAUUGUUAGCUUGUCUCUAUGGCUUUAUCCUAAGUCCUUAAGUAUUCUCUGCUUAGACAGCAGGGUUUGCUUAGUGGAGAGAUUGUAUCUCUAACUGUAUUGCCAGGACAGGUUUUUGACUACAUACCACCUAUCUUUCUCAAGAAAGUGAUAAUAAAAGCAAUUUUUUUCAUAUUUGAAAUCCUAGAGUACAACAAUAGCAAAUGGAAAAUGAAGAAAGAGGGAAUUAAAAAUGAGUAAAAGUAUUAACAUUACUUGUUUUAGGAAAAAGUAACAAUAAGUAGAUAAACAAUGGCUAGAUAAGGAAAAAUUUUUAAAGUCACUGUUAAAACUUGAAUUUUCUUCUAAAAUUCUCCUGCUGAACACCUUUCUAGAUGGGUAAAAGAGUGAGAAUAUUAAAUAAAAUUCUAAACUUUUAAAAAUAUAACUGGUUUUAAUUAUCUGACAGGUAACAUACAAAAUUUAUAUGUAAGGACAUUUUUAACUAUAGCAGUUGUUCCCAACAUAUACUUCAAAAGUAGUGUUCGGCCGUCCUAAAACACUAGAAAACUUCUACAGGCCUUUGACCUCUUGUAGAUUAUGUGGAAAACAGUAAUCUAUCUAUUCUGUAUUUUUUUUCAGAAGUAUCCAAAUUUUUUCCUCAGGGAAAAAAAAUACAGGUAAUAAGUUUCUUGAUAAAAUGUUUCUCUUAAAAACUGCAUAGAUUACUUCUACUUUCAGGUAAGGUCUUACUUCUCUCCAUAAAUAAUUGAAAACUUAGAUAAAACAUGUUUUUAGAUACUAGACAACAGUAAAUACUGUGAGCUAAAGAAAUAAAAUAGGUAACUACCUACAAUCAUUCUGACUUUCUGGCCUACAGGAUAUUUAUAAAUCUUGGGGCAGGGAGAGCCAACCCACUAGCUCCCAAGAGCUGUAGCUAACAUUUUAUUUAUUAUUUUUUGAUUUGAGGAGAUGGUGUUUGUAGCAUAAAUCUGAGAUUGCUAGAAUAUUUUGGGACGGAUCACCAAUGAAGAAAGAGUUACUCAGAGAAACAGCUCCAGAAAUCUACAUAACGAAUCAACGAAGUCUUUAGUUGAAUGCCAAUCUGCAUGUUAAGGUGAAACUCCCUGAGGAUAGGCAAAGAAAAUUUCUGAGGAAAGAAUAAUUUCCAGGUACAUAUAAGUCAAAACAAUUUCCACAGGACAAACAGUGUCAUGACUCCUUCCAAGUGCUAGCAAACAAAGUGAAGUAACAUCAUUGAAUACAUGGGCAGUAGUAGAGACGCAAGAUAGGCCCAUGCUCUAGUAAUUGGGCUAAACUAGUCCCAUAAAAUAGAUUAUUCUGUACCAGGGAUCAGCAAAUUAAGGACCAAUCUGAACCACUACUUUCCAGUAACUAAAAUUUUAUUGCAAAAUGGCUUUUCACUUAUUUACAUAUUAUCUAUAGAGACUUCAGUGUUACAACAAUAGAGUGAUAGAAAUCAAACGGUCUGCAAAGCUUUAGAUAAAUACUGUGUGGCUCUUGACAGAAAAAAAAUCCCUUGCUGAUUCCUCCUCUAGACUUGCCCUAAUCAAAGGACUUUCAUGCAACUCAACAGCCUAUCAGAACAAAAUUCAACACUGAUAAAAGUCUGACAACAAAAUUCAGUAAUCAAAUAUUUAACAUUUUCAAUGUCUGUCAUCCAAUCCAGAAUUACCACACAUACAAAGAAGGAGGAUAAAAUACCUCUAUACCCAGGUAAAACAAAUCAAAAAAUAACAUAGAUGAUGACAAAAGUAGAAAACAUUUUUUAAAAUAGGUAUAAUUAUCAUGUGCAGCAUGUGCAAAUAUUUUUUAAAAUGAACAUAAUGAGGAGAGUCAUAGGGAUAUAAAAAAAGAACCAAAGGGAAAUUCUAAAGAUAAAAUUAUGAUACCAAAAAUUAAAAUUAUUCUGAUUGGUAGAUUAGGCCCUGAAAUAGAAAGUCAGUGAAAUUGAAAACAUGGCAACAAAAAUUAAAAUAUAAAAUAAAUAUAAAUAAAUGCACAAAGGUAAAAAACAAGAUAUUAAUGGCCUCAAUAUUAAUAUCAGAGACAAUAUCAAUUGCAACAAAAUACAUGGGGUGGAAUACUAAAAAGAAAGAGAAAGAGAAAAACAAUGUGAAGCAAUUCUUUUUUUUUUUUUUGAGACAGUCUCACUCCAUCGCCUAGGCUGGAGUGCAGUGGCGUAAUCUUGGCUCACUGCAACCUCUGCCUCCCGGGUUCAAGCAAUUCUCCUGCCUCAGUCUCCCAAGUAGCUGGGAUUACAGGCUACUACUACCAUGCUCAGCUAAUAUUUUUUUUUUGUAUUUUUAGUAGAGACAGGGUUUCGCCAUGUUGGCUAGGGUGGUUUUGAACUCCUAACCUCAGGUGAUCCACCCGCCUCGGGAUUACAGGCGUGAGCCACCGUGCCCGGCCCAUAUUUUAAAAAUAUCUAUAUUUUAUACCAAGUCAUCAGACAUUUGAGAACAUAUCCUAUUGAAGUAAAACACAGUAAGGAUGUAUUUAAAGAAUGAGUAUUGAAGAAAUACUCACAGAAUUGAAAAAUCAGAGAAUGUUAAAUAAUUAUAAUAUAUUCAUAUUAAAAAAUAAUAUUCAGUCUUAAAGCAAAUAGUUAAAGCAACUAAACCAGUUGUAAUAGGCAGAUUUCCAAAAAACGGUUAUGUAAGAAAACAAGAUACAAACAUUGUAAUAUCAUUUCAUGUUUUCAAUAUAAAUUAUUUAAAAAUUUCAUAUAUGUAUAUGUAUGUUUACCAAACUAUGUGAGUACUGAGAAAAAUAUGAAAGAAUGCAUGCUUGAUUGUCAUAUCCCAUGGGUGUGUAAUGGGAGUAGUGAAGAAGAUAAAUGGGGUAGUAUAAAAAAUAUAAAACCAUAAUACACUAAAAUGUAAUAUGAAUGUUAUACUUUACAUUUGUUUAAAAUUACAUAUGUGAUUUGUACAACUAAAGUGGUAUAAAAAUUAGAAGCAAAGUUAAAUGAGAAGGAAUUGAUUAAAUGUACAUACAUAUACCCACAGAACGGUAUCAAUACAUGGGUACACAUACACACACAUAUAUAUAUAAUGUUUAUGUUCACUAAAUAAUUAUGUGUCACUUAACGAUGGAUAUACAUUCUGAGAAAUGUGUUGUCAGGCAAUUUUGUCCUUGUGCAAAUAUCAUAGAGUGUAUUUACACAAACCUAGUUCACACUUUGGCUAUCUGGUAUAGACUAUUGCUUCCAGGCUACAAACCUGUACAACAUGCUACUGUUCCAAAUAUUGUAGGCAAUUGUAACUGGAUGUUAAGUAUUUGUGGAUCUUAAUGUAUCUAAACAUAGAAAAGGCACAUACAAAAAUACAGUAUUAUAAUCUUAUGAGACCAUGGUCAUCCAUGUGGUCCAUCAUUGACUGAAGAAUCGUUAGCAUGUCAUGACUGUACAUAUACAGCAUUCAUAUAUUUAAAUACAUGCAUAUAUAUUAUAUAUAUAUGGGGCAUACACAUAAGUAAUAUAUAUUUUCAUACACCUUGCAAUUUUACUGCUUGGAUUUAUUUUCUUAGAAAACAAAAUAAAUAAGAUAGUAUAGAUUUAAAAAUCUAUGGAUAAAAUAAUUCAAAGCAAUAGUACUUUUGUAGUGAAUAACAUAAUAUAGUAUAAAUGUACAAAUACAGUGAUGCAUUACAGAUAUUUUGCGUAUUUUACAGCAUGCAAGUUAUCUCUUUAAAAGAGCUUUAGAAAUGAAUUCAGUAAGUGAAAGAACAAAAUAUUUUUAUAUCAAAUUAUUUUGCCAAAUUUAUACGUUACUACCGCUAGUAACGUAUGAGAUCAUUCAUCUCACCAUUGCAAACAUUGUCAUUAUAAUUCAAAAAAUUGUAUUUACUAUUUGGUUGACUUAAUUUACAUUUUUAAGAAUAGUAUAAAAUGGCUAAAGUGAUGGCAUUUUAAUUAUUUGAUUCAUCUUUUUUGGCUCCACUUAACAAUUGAGGUUCUAUUAAUUAUUUUAUGGAUUUAUGUGGGCUUUUCUAUCAAGCUACGUUCUGAAAUAGUUGCUCAUAAUUUAGUACUGCUUUCUUUUUCUCUUAAUUUUAGUUAAAGCUUCUGACAUACAGUAGUUGUAAAUUAUAUAUUAAAUCUAUUGGUUUUUUCCAUUAUGAUUUUUUUCCUUAUUGUAAUAAAGCUUAAAAUGAAUAUCCUUCCUCUUGAA